CCUGGCUCAGGACGAACGCUGGCGGCGUGCCUAAUACAUGCAAGUCGAGCGGACGGAUGGGAGCUUGCUCCCAGAAGUUAGCGGCGGACGGGUGAGUAACACGUGGGCAACCUGCCCUAUAGUUGGGGAUAACUCCGGGAAACCGGGGCUAAUACCGAAUGAUAUAAUUUAGCUCCUGCUAGAUUGUUGAAAGAUGGUUUACGCUAUCGCUAUAGGAUGGGCCCGCGGCGCAUUAGCUAGUUGGUGAGGUAACGGCUCACCAAGGCGACGAUGCGUAGCCGACCUGAGAGGGUGAUCGGCCACACUGGGACUGAGACACGGCCCAGACUCCUACGGGAGGCAGCAGUAGGGAAUCUUCCACAAUGGGCGAAAGCCUGAUGGAGCAACGCCGCGUGAGUGAAGAAGGUUUUCGGAUCGUAAAACUCUGUUGUAAGGGAAGAACAGGUACAGUAGUAACUGGCUGUACCUGACGG
rnacentral:rRNA from 1 species